UACGUAGGGUGCGAGCGUUGUCCGGAAUUAUUGGGCGUAAAGGGCUCGUAGGCGGUCUGUUGCGUCAGGAGUGAAAACUCGGGGCUUAACUCCAGAACUGCCUUUGAUACUGGGAGCUUGAGUCCGGAGAGGUGAGUGGAACUCCGAGUGUAGAGGUGAAAUUCGUAGAUAUUCGGAAGAACACCAGUGGCGAAGGCGGCUCACUGGCCCGGUACUGACGCUGAGGUGCGAAAGCGUGGGGAGCAAACAGG
rnacentral:rRNA from 1 species